UACGGGGGGGGUAAGCGUUGUUCGGAAUUACUGGGCGUAAAGGGCUCGUAGGCGGCCAACUAAGUCAUACGUGAAAUCCCUCAGCUUAACUGGGGAACUGCGUGUGAUACUGGAUGGCUUGGAUUUGGGAGAGGGAUGCGGAAUUUCAGGUGUAGCGGUGAAAUGCGUAGAUAUCUGGAGGAACACCGGUGGCGAAGGCGGCAUCCUGGACCAUAACUGACGCUGGAGG
rnacentral:rRNA from 1 species